AUUGAACGCUGGCGGCAGGCCUAACACAUGCAAGUCGAACGAGUGGCGGACGGGUGAGUAAUGUCUGGGAAACUGCCUGAUGGAGGGGGAUAACUACUGGAAACGGUAUCUAAUACCGCAUACCAUCAGUGGUGCCCAGAUGGGAUUGGCUAGGUGGUGGGGUAAAGGCUCACAAAGGCGACGUUCCCUAGCUGGUCUGAUAGGAUGACCAUCCACACUGGACUGGGGACACGGCCCAGACUCCUACGGGGGGCAGCAGUGGGGAAUAUUGCACAAUGGGCGAAAGCCUGAUGCAGCCAUGCCGCGGGUAUGAAGAAGGCCUUCGGGUUGUAAAGUACUUUCAGCGGGGAGGCGUUACCCGCAGAAGAAGCACCGGCUAACUCCGUGCCAGCAGCCGCGGUAAUUC
rnacentral:rRNA from 1 species